UAGUCAUAUGCUUGUCUCAAAGAUUAAGCCAUGCAUGUCUAAGUAUAAACAUCUUUAUACAGUGAAACUGCGUACAGCUCAUUAUAUCAGUUAUUAUUUAUUUGAUGGUACCUUACUACAUGGAUACCCGUAGUAAUUCUAGAGCUAAUACAUGCGCAAAGUCCCGACUCUCGCGGGGAGGGAUGUAUUUAUUAGAUAAAAAACCAAUGCGGGACUUCUGUCCCGGUUCUUUUUGGUGACUCCUAGUAACUGUUCGAAUCGCAUGCCUUCACUGGUGG
rnacentral:rRNA from 1 species